rnacentral:rRNA from 1 species
UACGGAGGGUGCGAGCGUUGUCCGGAAUCACUGGGCGUAAAGGGCGCGUAGGUGGCGUCGCAAGUCAGCGGUGAAAGCUCGACGCUCAACGUCGAGUCGGCCGUCGAGACUGCGAGGCUCGAGCACUGUAGAGGCUCAUGGAAUUCCGGGUGUAGCGGUGGAAUGCGUAGAGAUCCGGAAGAACACCGGUGGCGAAGGCGGUGAGCUGGGCAGUUGCUGACACUGAGGCGCGACAGCGUGGGGAGCAAACAGG